rnacentral:rRNA from 1 species
AGUGAACGCUGGCGGUAGGCCUAACACAUGCAAGUCGAACGGCAGCACAGUAAGAGCUUGCUCUUACGGGUGGCGAGUGGCGGACGGGUGAGGAAUACAUCGGAAUCUACUUUUUCGUGGGGGAUAACGUAGGGAAACUUACGCUAAUACCGCAUACGACCUACGGGUGAAAGCAGGGGAUCUUCGGACCUUGCGCGAUUGAAUGAGCCGAUGUCGGAUUAGCUAGUUGGCGGGGUAAAGGCCCACCAAGGCGACGAUCCGUAGCUGGUCUGAGAGGAUGAUCAGCCACACUGGAACUGAGACACGGUCCAGACUCCUACGGGGGGCAACAGGGGGGAAUAUUGGACAAUGGGGGGAAGCCUGAUCCAGCCAUACCGCGUGGGUGAAGAAGGCCUUCGGGUUGUAAAGCCCUUUUGUUGGGAAAGAAAAGCAGCAGGUUAAUACCCCGCUGUUCUGACGGUACCCAAAGAAUAAGCACCGGCUAACUUCGUG